GCUUCUGCGCUUCCGCUACUGACCUUUCCUCUGGAGUCCGCCAUUCCUGCCAUUCAGGUCCAGGUUUUGGUCCGGUACUUAGGAUCCCGGGUUGUUCUGCGGCGCAGGUGCUGAAGGUCCCCAGGGAGCAUGUCUGACUGCUGAGCACCAGGAAAUGGUGAGUGUGCUGCGGUACCUGGAGCCUUGGCAGGGAGGCUGGGGAAGGAGCCUUCAGGCAGGACUGGCUGUGGCGGAAACCGGAGCUGGUAGAACCGGACUCCAGGCAGCUUCUGCAGUCCGCAGGCCUUAGCCCUCCUUGGGGGCAUCGCCUCUCAGUCCCACUGGCUAGCCAGAUGGGGAACGUGUCAGUGGCGGAGACCCCCGCAGCCUCCCACCGGCUCCGGGCGUCCUCAGCCCCAGCUCAAGUCCUAUGUGGCUGAGGAGCGCGGCGGCUCGCCGCAGCCCAGCGUCUGCCCCUGGGCUGUGGUGCUUGACACAUGUGACGAGCGUCAGAAUCCUAUCUCCAAAUGGUGUUUUCCUCUAGGAGGAGAGCUGUGGUGUACAGGGUCCUUGAUUAUUCCUAAG
rnacentral:lncRNA from 1 species